rnacentral:rRNA from 1 species
UACGUAGGGGGCAAGCGUUGUCCGGAUUUAUUGGGCGUAAAGAGCGUGUAGGCGGCUUUACAGGUCCGUUGUGAAAACUCGAGGCUCAACCUCGAGACGCCGGUGGAAACCGUGAGGCUAGAGUCCGGAAGAGGAGAGUGGAAUUCCUGGUGUAGCGGUGAAAUGCGCAGAUAUCAGGAGGAACACCCGUGGCGAAGGCGGCUCUCUGGGACGGUACUGACGCUGAGACGCGAAAGCGUGGGGAGCAAACAGG